AUGUAUUGAAUGGUGAUGUGUGACUCCAAUUUGUUUGUACUGAUAAUCAAUUAGCAGAUAUUUUUACAAAAUCCCUAAGUGAAGAGAGGUUUAGCGUGCUUAGGAGGGGAUUAGGAGUGAUUGAUCCAUCCUAGUGGGAGUUUCCACUAGAUUAAUUGAUUUUGAUGAUUAGAAUGCGGUUAAAAUAGAGUUUCUAUUCAAUGAUCAUCAAAUCAGAUCCCAAUUAGGUGAUUUUCCCUCAUUUGGCACGGGUAUAGCAUGACUUUUAGGUGCGUGCCAAGGUUAGAGACGACUCGAGUAAGUUUCAGAGCCGGCUCCUAAGGGGGAGUCGACUCGCGCAUUUGCGGGAGUCGACU
rnacentral:lncRNA from 1 species